AGUCUCGAGAUUGCCUGACCAUGACACACUCCAUCAGAACUCAUCCCCACUGUUAAGCAAAGCAUGACUAUACCGCCUUGGAUUCUCCACGGUCCCAGACCUGAACUGUUUAGAUGACUGCACACGCAGAGGGCACCGUGUCUGAGGCAGAGAGCAGCUGGAAUCACAAAAGCUCUCGACAGAGAGUCAAGGAAAGGCGUGCUCUGCUUACACGACUCUCUACUUUUCUCUGGGUCUGAACCAUUUCCUAGCUAAUCUGCUUUUCUUAACCGAGCAGCUUUGCCAAAAAAAAAAAAAAAAAGAAAAAACACAAAGUUACCAACAAACACUAAACAAACCAAUAUAAACAAUACAUAUUAAAUAAGCCUAACCCUCCUAUGCUACUGAAAAGGCUUUUAUUUCCCUGGGAUAAUUUGGACAGCAUUAGAUUGUUUUACCAAGAGCAGCCAAGUCGAGGCAGAUUAUUUCUAAUUCCACAGUGCUGCAGAUGCGGUCAGUAGCAACUGCAAGCCGGAAAGGAAACAAAACAAAACAAAGUUGGGUGUAAUCCAUUCAAGUUCACACGUUUCACCAGGGACAGCCUCCAAGCCUUGAAUAGUUAGGUAUGCAUUUAGCCAUUUCUUGAAUCAACCACUACUAACGCCUGCUAAAGGCCAGACACUGCUCUAAGUACUUUACGGAUAUGAAAUAUCCUCUCACCUUUACACUCACCUAUGGAGUGUGUAUGAUAAUCAUCCCCGUUUUACAGAUCAGGAAACUGACACACAGAAUGGUACAGUAACUUGCCCGAGUUCACACAGCCCGUAGGUGGCAGAGCCAGGACCCAUGUGACAGAGUCUGGCUCCAGAGGGAGACCCGCACUCCUCAGAACGCCUCGAGACCAGUGUCCUUAUCGACUUCGCGUCUGUCCUUCCGAGAAGCCGAGACCACGGCUGGCGCUUCAGCGCCCGACUCCCGGGCACCGCAUGCCCAGGCUGGCCCCGUGCCCGGCACACACCGCCCGUUCCACGAACGCCUCAAGCGCACGAAGAGACCCCCUCGCUCCCCGCGCCGCACAGCUGUCCCGCGACCUGACGGGCACCUCUCGGCGCACAAGCCUAUUCCUCAGGGACA
rnacentral:lncRNA from 1 species